rnacentral:rRNA from 1 species
AAACAUUGAUUAUACCAAUACACAAUAAUCCGCCCGGGAACUACGAACAAAAGUUUAAAACCCAAAGGACUUGGCGGUGCUUAACAUCCACCUAGAGGAGCCUGUUCUAUAACCGAUAAUCCCCGUUCAACCUCACCCCCCCUUGCUAAUAGCCCGCUUAUAUACCGCCAUCGUCAGUCCACCCUAUGAAGGCCCCACAGUCGACAAAACCGGAACAACCCCAAACGUUAGGUCGAGGUGUAGCGUAUGGGGGGGGAAGAAAUGGGCUACAUUUGCUACCACAGCACACUACGAAUGUUAUGUUGAAACACACAACUAAAGGAGGAUUUAGCAGUAAGCAGAAAAUAGAGCGUUCU